CAGGAUGCAACAUCUCCGCGUGUUUUGUCACCCGCGGUCAACACAUCUCCGAAGCUCCGGGUUUUCGUAAGCUUCUGUCACUUGAAAAAGGGGGAAGAAUAAUUGAAAUUCUUCAGCUUUGACAAUGUUUCAACUGAUAUACAGUGCAGCUUUGCUAAUCUGUGAAGGCCCAGCUGACAACUGAUAAGUUUGACUCAUGACUGUAAAUCCUCAAGCCUGAAUGUCAGGUCAACUACAGUGGCCCCUCUUGAUAAAGAGAGCGAAGCGUGUCAUAUGGGGUUGCUCACUCCAGAACAAGAUAAGGAACACCUCACUCAUUGGUGAUGGAGAUUCAAAAUCAUCCCCACUGUAUAAGGCCCUCAACCCCUAUGAUUCCAUACUCAGAAGGAGGUGAUGUGUGUCAUCCAUGUGGCAAAAGAUCUCAGCUCUGUACUUUGCAAAAUCUAAGAGUCAUGGAGAAAAAGAGAGGUGUAACGCUUGGAGAGAGAGCCUUUGGCAUACUGACUUAGGUACCGUAUUUGAGGAUAAGAAAUUUCACUUGACUAUCCCCUAAUUUUCAAAUUCCCAUCAAUCAACAAUUAUUGCGCUAUUCCCCUCAAGCAAAACUUAGCCUGUUUGUAACCUAAGAUAUGAUGGAUGUUUGUUCAUUUUUUUCUUUUAAUGGAGAAGGAAGCAAGUUCUCCUGGGACCUACGGUGCUUGUCAUGCCUUGUGAAGCAUGAGGACCAUAAUGAUGAACUCCGUGUAUCAUAUUUUGCAUUUGGCAUACUGCUUCAUUACAUGUAUUUCAUAAAACUAAUUGCAGAUUCACAUUCAGACACAUUUUUGGGGAUAUUUCAAGAUAUGGUAUUUCCUUUUAGAGAUAGUAGAAUUUAUAAACUGAGUCUAAUCAUAAAAUAAUAUAUAUGCAACCAACCGCUUAUCUAGCGCUACUCUUUGUCCCUGGAGAUCAAAAUGAACAUCUGUCUGGUGAAGCACACACUGACCCUGUGUAAUGAAGGGGUUAAUGCCCAUCGUCUUGUAGGCCCGUACUUCAUGCAUUCACUCACUCUCAGACUCAGACAAGUGUGUCAGUGGAGAAAGGGAGAAUGUCACUAGGCCCUAGGCUAGGCGUACACAGUUGCUGAGUCGCUGGUGUGUAGUGUGUAAAGUGUGCACUGUAUGUAGACGGUGCACGCAGCACCUCUGGUGGCCAAGAGUGAAGGGGUUUGGAGGAAAAUUAACAUUAGUAGGCUACAUUUCAGGUAGGGGGCAAAUAGUAGCCU